rnacentral:SRP_RNA from 1 species
GGGUAAGUCUUGUACGACCAGCUCCUGUCUACUCCUCCAGGGUCGGAAGGCAGCAAAGGUAUGAUGGUUGAGCGGUGCGAUGCAAGUAGCUUACCCUUU